AUGCGGUCAUGCCACCUGUCGCCGGCACAUUUGCCAGUCCGAAUGCGUCCGCUCCUCCUUCUUCCCCUUUCCUCAUCUUUGGCGGGGAGCUUGGUUGGAGGGAUGGGUGGCCUCGAUGCGGUCGCGUCACGUGUCGCCGGCACACCUUCAUGCUGGUCCGGAUUCGUCCGCUCCCCUUUCUCCCCCUUUUCUCGGCCACGGGCGGGUUGGUGCAGGCCUUCCAGCAGAGCGCCUGCGGGUGGAUCUGUCGGUCGAGGGCCACCGAUUGGUCCAAAGCCGGAGCCUUUGUGUAGGUCUCGGGGUGGUCUGGUUGCAGAGCGGCGGCUCUGGUGGCGGGAGGCGCGGCAUUUGGGGGCGGAGCGUGCGUCUCUGGUGCGGGCGGGCACCCAUGGCCACGCGGGUGGCGUGGUUGCGGGUGGUCGACGGAGUUAG
rnacentral:rRNA from 1 species